AACCCACCACCACUGUGAUGCGUGUGUUUUUGUUAUUGUUGUAGGUUAGUGGAACAGCUGAGAGCGAAGAGACAUCGUUGUGCAUCUUUAAAAAACGUUGAAUCGUUUUCUGACACGGAUGGACUUUGUCUGCCUUUAAUCGAAAUAGGGACGGAUCAAUUGGACAAUCUGCAGAGCAAACAGAUCAGAAUAAGGUGCUCACCAGUGUUAUUGUGUUGCCAUGGAGAAGGCUUGGAGAGUGGAGUUUAGGAACGUGGGUAGUAGCUACUUCCCUCAGAGCCGCGUGGAAUGCCACUACAGCAUCAGCUCGCAACAUACCUGGGCCAGCCAUGACUGGGUCGGACUCUUCAAGGUGGGAUGGUUGUCAGUGAAGGACUACCACACCUUUGUUUGGGCCCUGGCCCCAGAAGGCUACCAGGAGGGCACAGAUGUCAACUGCUGUGUUAACUUCCAGGCCUCCUAUCUGCCCAAGUCCAGUUCCCAGCAGUACCAGUUUGUGUACGUGGAUGGGAAGGGAGAGGUGUGCUCUGCCAGCUCCCGGUUUACCUUCAGCGCCCCUAAACCUUUGGAGGACCUGGUCACCCUGGAGGAAGGAGCCCACGGAGAGGAGGGGGGGACCGACAUGCUUCUGGUCGUACCCAGGGCCGAGCUACUGCAGAGUCGCCUGCAAGAGUGUCUUCGGGAGCGAGCCGAGCUGCUCCACGCACGGGAGGCAGCCGAGAGGAUGAAGGAGAGAGAGAGGGAGAAGUACAGGAGGGCAAGAGAGGCGUGGGACAGAGGGUGUGAGGAGCUGGAGAGGAACAUCGCGGACCUGAAGGAAGAGCUGCGAGAAAGCAGAGACAGGGUGGAAGAGAUGGAGAGGAGGCAGGAGGAGGUGGAGGCAUCAGGAGAGGCCUUGGCUCAAGAGAAGAGCUCCAUACUGACUAUGAAAGCAGCCAGCGAACAGCGAAUCAGAGAGCUGGAGGAUGACAUUAAAGCCCUGGCACUGAAGGCUUUGGAACGAGAGACUGAACUGGAGAGGAUGAAGGAGAGGGCCAAGAAGCAAGCAGUUCAAAGAAGGGAGGAGGAGAAAGAGAGGAAAGUUCUGCAGCUCAAGCUGGAGCAGUCCGAGGGGGAGCUGCGGAGCCUGUCUGCUGAGUUCCAGGGUCUGAGGAGCUCGCUGGCCCAGAGAGACACACACGCCCUGCAGCUACGGGACACCAUCACCACCCUCACAUACAGGCUGAGUACGGCGCAGCGGAAAGAGGCGGAGAGCGAGGCCGCCCUGGCUGAGAUGCGGGGCCUGCGGGAGCGUCUGGGGGCCAGCGAGCGUUGUGCCGAGGGCCUGAAGGGAGAGCUGUGUGCCCUGGUGGCCCAGAGGGACCAGGGCCAGACAGAGCUGCACCAGGCCAGGCUCCAAGCAGCACAGCUCACCCUGCAGCUCGCCGACGCCAGCCUGGCCCUGAGGGAGGCCCGAGCACACUGGGCCCAGGAGAGACAGAGCCUGCAGUGCAGCACUGAGAAGGCCAGAGAGCGUCUGGAGAAGCUGAAUGGAGAGACGCAGCGGAUAGAGAAGAAGCUUCAGGAGGAGAGGAUGGAGAGAGAGAAGGUGGAAGUGGAGCUGGGAAGAGAGAAGGACUGCAACCGGGUGCAGCUGGGUGAGACAUGCAGAGAGCUCCAGGAGCUGAAGGCCAGUCUGAGGGUGGCCCAGAAGGAGAAGGAGCAGCUGCUGCUGGAGCAACAGGACCUGAUGGAGUACAUGGGUCAGGUGGAACAGAGGAGGGAGGCUUUGGCAGAUGCCAAGUGGAGCGCUGCGGUGUUCGCCUCCACCAGCCUCCAUGACAGUCCUCUGUCUGACUCUGAGGAUGAGAACCCUGAGGCCCUGCAGCCCUCCCGCCAACCCUGCAGGCAGCCCCCCCCCUCCUCCCGCCCCCUUGCCCACUACAGCCUGUGUGACCCCCAGGCCCAGCCUGACUCCCUGCUCCCCUCCACCCCUCCUUCCUCCCCCAGAGACAUGUCCCGGUCCCUGUCCCGAGGGGGCGUCGUCAUCAGCCAGCCCGCUCCCCUGUUGUUGCCCAGGCAAUCGGGCGGAGACACCCUAACACACAGCUCUGAGUCGGAGGAGGAGAAUAACACCGACCAGUGUGGAGGACACAGCUCUGGAGAGGAGGCAGCCCUGCUGCUGCCUGAGACCACAGACGCAGUCCUCAGGUCGUAAAAGAAGUUGAGUGUGGAGGGGAGGAGGAAGGGAGCGUGUACGACGGAGGCAGCGCGAGGGAGGGAAGAGGGCAGUGAGGGAGAAGGAGGGGAGAGAUGGGAGGACAAGGGGACAGUGACCUGGCUAAUACCUCUCAGUGGUAGAGAGCGGAGAUACAGGACCAAGUCAACAGCAUCACUGUCAGUGUGUUCUUUACUUUCAGUAUUCAGCACACACACACACACACACACACACACACACACACACACACACACACACACACACACACACACACACACACACACACACACACACACACACACACACACACACACACACACACACACACACUACAACUCACCUCUCUGACAAAUGAUGUUAAUAUGCAAUUUGCUUCUACAUUUUUCUAUGAACUUCUUCUUUGAUGUGUGACUUCUAGGCUGUUGUGCUGCACCUGCACAUAACAUGGUCCUAAGGAUGCCAUAAUGCCUGUCAUAACAGGUCGCGACAGCUCAAAUCAUAGUUACGGCCUCUCGUGGCCGUUCUAAAGCGUGAAACGCUUAACAUUUAAGUCUUAGUUAGAUGUUUAAUAGUUCAUGUUUCAUAGCAGGGUUCUUUCGGUUGCAGGAGGAGUGAUGUUGGGAGCUUUACGACCGGCGUUAUGACAUCUUUAUGACGCCGUUAUUAUGAGGCAUCAUGACAGCCACUGCAAUGAAGAUAUUUUGAGUGAAUGUAUCCGUCUCCUUUUGAAAAUCUAAAAGUUGAUUUGAACACUUCCGUCGGCGCGACAACUUCAAACACUUCAACUACUGUAAUAAUAGUCAUUAAGACGUACUUAGACUUUUGUUUGAAGAGUCAUUGUAAACUACAGAUAUGUAUAAUGUUUUUCCUCCUUAUAUUCAAAACCUGAGAUGUUAUAUUAUAAGCAUUUUCUGUUAUUCAUUAUUAGACAUUUAUAUUCCUGCUUUAUUAGGGGUGUUGUAGUACUAGUUGAAAGGAGACUCAAAGGUAGAGAGGCGUUCAAAAUGGGGGAGAACGGUUGAAAACGCUUCUGGAAAAGGGUGGCAGUUUGAGGGCAAUUAGGUUGGGGAGGGCAAUCAGGUUGGGGAGGGCGAUCAGGUUGGGGAGGGCAAUCAGGUUGGGGAGGGCAAUCAGGUUGAAUGUAGACUGGAAGAGACACUCUAGAAAGGUGGUUGCUACUAAUUAGGGCGAGAGGAAUGACAUUUUGAUGUUCUCUCAUGUUUGUUUUGUUGAACAAUAUAUUUGACUUCCAAUAUUCUAUCCUCCGCAACAUACAGCUAUUGCUCCUGCAUGCUGGUAGCUGUAGCGCCACUGCAAUACUUAUGUAUUUGAUACCAGAUGUCAAUCGGGGUGUUGUUUUAAAGCAAGAAUAAUGUGUGUUUAGAACGUCCCAGAAGAUCAUUAGUAAUGCGCUAGAUUCACUGUGCGCGGUAUACAGAAACGACCUGCUUCAGAGGGACGAAGCCAUUCUAAAUUUGUACCUAAAAGAACAAAUUGGUAACAACGUUGCAAUACUUGUUAUGGUGUGUUGUUCCUAUAGCUCAUGGAAGUCUGGCCUGGACUAGAUUACUACUGGGUCAAGAAAUACAUUUUUCAUGAUUUUCUACCAAUACUCCGCUUGUGUUAUAUCGUAAUGAAAUGAUAUGCAGUUUUAGUUUAAGCUACAUAGUUGAUACGUGUAAUAAGAAGAAAAUACUAAAGCCAGGGUUCGUCCUGUCUGUGUCAUGUCGUCUCUCAUCCUUCCCAUAAUCAUUACCAUCGUGCGUUGUAUUUCCUCUUCGUUUCUUUAAGACUCGUUUCUUUCCCCCCCCCUGAUUUUUCUGUCUGAGGAUCAAUUGAACUGUAUUAUCUAUCGCGACUGUCCCGGUAAGGGUUGAAGAGUUCGUCCAAAGGGUCGAGGUGUUGGUGCCACUAUACAGGACAACAGUUUGCUCACACAUGGGUUGUAAAAGCCAUAGUGAAAAUUGUGACGUCUGUAACAUACAACUCAGUCCGUCAUAAUAACAACUUUGUCAGCGUUGACGGACAUCCCUGCUCAGUUGAAGGCUGUGUGUCAAUACGUUUUGGAGUACCCUUGUCUCUGCACCUGUUGAGCUAUACCUGUGGUGUAGUUUAGUACUACAAAUCUGUUUGCCACCCUGGGUGUGAGUGAUUUUGACGUCCUGGCAUGUACACCAAACGUUCCGUAGCACUGAGAUCGACGGGUGUUUUGUCGUCGUCAGAUCUAGACUUCCGUGGGAAGUUCUAUGUCUAUGUCUACUGUGAGCUACGUGGGUGUGUAGUGUGACUUCUAUUCAGGACAGCUGCCUACUCCCAUUGCAAUAAGGCUCCAGUGGUUUUCUGGUGUGUAUGUUUGUUUGUUGAGGUCAUCUUGCUUAUGAAAAAAAAAGAAAGAAAAAAAAUAAGUUGUUAUUGGUAAAUACUAUAUACUGUCUGUUCGUGUGGGUGGGUUUCUGUAAUAAAAUAAACAUGUAUGUGUAACAA